UUGUUGAUGUUUGGAGCUGAUGUUGCCUCCAGAUUCCUUGAAAAAUGGAACUGGGGCAGCGACAUGGCUUCCAUUCUUGUCUUGCUGCAUCUUCUCCUUCCACAACCAGCUGGUAGAAAGCGGCCCAAGAAGAUCAGUGCUGGAGAAGCAACAGAUCAUCUGGUGAAAUUUCACAAGUCAUGCCAUAGCCUUGAGGAUAACCUCUACAGAAACGUGUCAGCCAUAUCUUCUCGCCAUUGGGACUUCAAAGUCACAGAUUUUCACCUUCUACAUUGUCUUGAUAAGAAGCUUCUGCCAUGUCAGUCAUGCACGUUAGGAGCUUUUAAUGAGCUGCUCAAGUCACAUUUUGUUUUCAGUGUGACGUAUGAGGAUGCUCUGUGCAGUCUUUACACAUUUGUGCAGACAACUGUGUAGAAUAUUGA